UGCCAGCAGCCGCGGUAAUACGAACUGCGCAAACGUUAUUCGGAAUCACUGGGCUUACAGGGUGCGUAGGCGGUUCGCCAGGUCAGAUGUGAAAUCCCACAGCUCAACUGUGGAACUGCAUUUGAAACCUGCGAACUUGAGUAGACUAGAGGUACACGGAACUUCAGGUGGAGCGGUGAAAUGUGUUGAGAUCUGAAGGAACACCAGAGGCGAAAGCGGUGUACUGGAGUCUGUCUGACGCUGAGGCACGAAAGCUAGGGGAGCGAACGGGAUUAGAUA
rnacentral:rRNA from 1 species